rfam:Crassostrea gigas strain 05x7-T-G4-1.051#20 contig23579, whole genome shotgun sequence.
CGCCAGAUAGCUCAGUGGGUAGAGCAUCUGACUAGGAAUUCAGGGGACCUGGGUUCAAAUCCCAGUCUGGUUC